AAAGAUUGUACCCGUCUAGAUCUACUGCUAGUCGAUCCUAUGUACAGUUUAAAUCUAUCAAUGGUAUCAGUCGCCUACCUAGUUGGUAGAUCCAGAUCGGGAAAGAAAAGAUCACAGAAAAAAAUUACGGAUCCAAACCCGGACAGACCAAACCCUAACCAUAACCCCGAUAAAGAAAAAAAAGAAAUGUCGAACCCUAACACAAAGCACGUCAGAUCUGAUGUUUUUUUCCUUACUGUACUUAGCACUGCACGACACUGUGUUUUUGGGGCUCGGAUUAAAGGGCACCGUCGCAUAGCUUCUUGACAGUGACGCGCUCAACCGCAAGG
rnacentral:lncRNA from 1 species